GAGGUGUGCUCAGAGCAGGGGACCGAAGAAAUGGCUCCUCUGUGUACGACACACCCAAUGGGAAUCUGUGUUUUCAGGGUGACAAGGGGCCAGAAACUGGUGGCCUACUACAAACAGGAGGAAAGCCUACACGU
rnacentral:snoRNA from 1 species